rnacentral:rRNA from 1 species
UACGAAGGGGGGCUAGCGUUGCUCGGAAUCACUGGGCGUAAAGCGCACGUAGGCGGCUUCCUAAGUCAGGGGUGAAAUCCUGGAGCUCAACUCCAGAACUGCCUUUGAUACUGGCGAUCUCGAGUCCGGGAGAGGUGAGUGGAACUGCGAGUGUAGAGGUGAAAUUCGUAGAUAUUCGCAAGAACACCAGUGGCGAAGGCGGCUCACUGGCCCGAUACUGACGCUGAGGUGCGAAAGCGUGGGGGAGCAAACAGG